UCUCUCUCUCUCUUCUCUCUGAAAAUUCGGCCCUUCAUCUCUCUCUCUCUUAUCUUUACAAAAAACCCUUUUUCUACUUAAUGAGAUUAGGGCUUGAUUCUUGGAAUAUUUUCUGAAAAUAAAACCAAUUAUCAUCAAGAAAUAUUGUAGAUCCAUAUGGUUAUUGUUCAAUUUCAGUUUUGGUUAAGUCAAAUCUAUGGGAUUUGAGUUUUACCCGAUUUCAUGUGAGAUCUUAGUGGUCUCAGCCUCUUCCUAUGUGUGGUAGUGUUUGGUUUUAUUGUGUUCCUUGGUGGAAUGUUAGUUGCUGGGUAAUAAGUUUUUGAUGUUGAAUAACUCAAAAGAGGGCAGUUCAUGUUUUUUGUGAGAUCUUUGUGAUCUAGUGUGAUUCCUUUGUGGAAUAGAGACCAGUUUUGUUAUUCUUCAUAAGAUAAGUUUCUGUGACUUAUUUCUUUGUAAUAUUUUGGAACAUUAUUGUAUACUGGCUGCCUAUUUUUGGGGUUUUAUGGUGCAAUCAAGCUUUAUCCAUUUUAAUGGAUGCUCAACGGGGGAUUAGGCGUUAGAAGAGGUCGUCGAACCUUUGGGGCUUGGGCCGAAAAAUUCUCCGUAUUCAUUUUAUUUUCUGCACUUUAUUUUCAGUUUAAAAUUGUGGUUUUAGAAUCUUGGUUAAUAUUAGUAUCUCUCGACUUUUCAGAAACCAUUGCAAUUUAAUUGUUGUAUAUCUCAUAAAUAGGACACCCUCUUCCAGGUUGAAUGACAAAAGCCCUUAUCAAUUCCUACUCAAUAAAAGGCCGAAUUACUCCCAUCUUAAAGUUUUUGAUUGCCUUGCUUUUACCACUACUAUUGUCAAUAAGACAUAAAUUUGAACCCAGGGCGAAAAGAUGUGAGUUUAUAGGCUAUCCUUUUGGGAUUAAGGGAUAUACUCUGUUAGAACUUGAAACCAAGAAAAUCUCUGUCUCUAAGAACGUAGUUUUCUAUGGGAACAUUUUUCCUUUCAAAAGUGAUGAUUCCAUAAAUAACACUCAAUUCCAAUAAGAUAAAAACAAUGUCAGUUUUACUCAAGAUCCUAUUGUCCACAAUAAAAAUGUUAUUGCCACACAAAUUCCAAAUACUUUUCAAGAUGUUGACUCGCCAGAAACAAAUUCUGAAGUUAAACAAUCCGUGGAAAACAUUCCACAAACCUCUAACCAUGAUGAACCUCAAACUAAUUCUAUCGAUGAUCCUCAAAACCUUAAUACCUUUGAUUCACCAUCAAAUACCACUUCUAUUACUCACUUGCCUCGAAGGUAGAUGAGAAUUCGAAUAACCCCAGCUCAUCUCCAAGAUUUCAUAUGUCAACAGGCUACCUCUCUUCACCCAUCUCAAGAGUUCGACAGGCUAAAGGGACAACACCCCUCAGAUGAAGAAGUGUACAUGGAACUUCCUCUCGGCUACUUAAAUGGUGAUACCAAAAAAGUAUGCAAACUCAAAAAAAAAAAAAAAAAAGCUCGUAUGGGUUGAAGCAAGCAUCACGUCACUGGUAUUCUAAACUUUCCAACUUUAUUAUUGAGCAAGGGUAUAUUCAAUCAAAGGUAGAUUAUAGCUUGUUCACUAAGAGUAUUGACAUUUAUUUUACUAUUGUCCUAGUAUAUGUUGAUGACAUAAUUGUGGCAGGUGAUUGCAUUGAUACAAUCAAUCAUCUCAAAGCCUUACUUUAUGACAAGUUUAGAAUCGAAGACCUUGGUAAAUUAAAAUACUUCAUCAGCAUAGAAGUGGCCAGGUUUGCACAGGGUAUUUAUGUUUGCCAGAGAAAGUAUGCUCUUGAAAUUUUUAGUGCCUCUUGGACAACUGGUUCACCACCUGCAAGAAUACCUUUGGAUCAAAAUGUGUAAUUAACCAAAGAUAAAAUAGAGCUUCUUCCUAAACUUGCACUUUAUAGGAUAUUGGUUGGUCGAUUAUUGUACUUAACUAUAACUAGGCCUGAUAUUUCAUAUCCGGUCUUGUUAUUGAGCCAAUUUACGGAAAGUUCUCAGAUUCCAUAUCUGGACGCAGCACAAAAAGUUCUAAGGUAUAUCAAAAGAGCUCCAAGCCAAGGGAUAUUUUAUCCAAUAAAUUCGAAGAUACGGUUACAUGGAUACGGUGAUUCAGACUGGGGUGCUUGUUCUAAUACCAGGCGAUCAGUAACUGGAUAUUGUGUUUUAAUUGGAAAGUCAUUGGUGUCAUGGAAGUCUAAAAAGCGACAUAUUGUUUCAAGAUCCUCUUCAAAGGUAGAAUACAGAGCCGUGGCCAAUUUAUGUUGUGAAUUGACAUGGCUCAGAUAUUUAUUUGAAGACUUGCAGGUAGCUCAUCCUCAAGCUGUUUUCCUGUAUUGUCAUAAUAAGUCUGCCGUUCACACUACUACAAACCCGAUAUUUCAUGAAAGGACUAAGCAUGUAGAACUCGAUAGUCAUUUAAUUCGAGAUAAAAUUUAAGGUGGAAGCAUUGUCACUAAGCAUGUAUCUAGCAUAUCACAAAUAGCAGAUAUAUUAAGUUCUCAAAAUUUUUACUCAUAUAUGCUCAAGAUGGGAGUAAUGGAUGUAUACUCACCAUCUUACGAGGGGCUAUUAGAAGUUAAUAGAGCUGCUAAUUUGGAAAUUAAAAUAAACAACAAUACAAUCAGCAAGAGACGUAUCAACAAUUGACAACACCUCAACAAGGAGGAAAGAAGAAACUCUCUAAAAGAAAAUAAGAAAUUUGCACUAGAUACAAGUUUAUUAUGCUACUAGCAUUCUGUUUUGUCUAUCCGUUGCUGAACAUGUAAUAUAGCAUUCAUAUUUUAUUCUUUACAGCUAUGAGAAUAUUUUUGUAAAGGGCCUACAUAUAUUGGCCUUGUGUACAAAAGUUCGAUAAGAGACAAUUAAUACAAUCAUUUUCAUUCUCUUCA